ACAAAAAAAAACACAGAGAUGAGUUUAAUCUGAAUUUAUUACCUCCAAUACAUUGUUUUGUUGAGCAAUGACAACUAGGCAGUUAAAAAAAUACAGUACACUUAACUUAAACAUUAAAGCAUUAUAAAGCAUACCUAUGGCAUACAAGAAUAACUUUCCUAAAAUGUACAUCUUUACAAAGUGUUUACAAAUAAAAUGUAAAAAAAAAAAAAAAAAAGACAGAAAAGUGCAAAACAGAGUCAACGAAGACAGACGAUCCCCACCAGUGAAACAGGACAAAAUGUACAAUGAAAAAAAACAAAACAAAAACAAAAACAUACUUCAUAUUCCUAACUUGCUUUUGAUGCACGUUUCCUGAUAUGAACAGUGGGCCGUGAGAUUGUGCUUUUCAACUGUCCAUGUGCUUAUUGUGAUUUGGAACUUGUAUUAAUCGAGCAGUGCGUGAUAGAAAAACCCACUUCUGAAAAUAUUCACAGUAUUUCAAAUUUUUGUCUGCGCCCCCUAAGUUUGAAUGAAAACCACCUUUAAAUAAAUACAUUUUACUUUAAUUUACAACUUUGUUUGUGGCUUAAGAUGAACGUGAUGAGGGCCAAAAUAACAGGGGUAAAAGAAAAUAAUUAUAUAAAUAGGACACCUUUUGUGGAGUUGAAGUGUGUGAGGGAGAGAAAACAUGAACAUGUGUUUUAUGAACCUUAUUAGAUCUGACCUUCUUUCUGUGACUGUGGAUGCAAUAUCAGUAGUGUGACAGUGUCCCGUAACGUAAACAAAGUAAACAAACAGCUGACUAUCCGUUUGAAAAAUAAAAUAUACACCAAAUACAGUACUGUAGUCUUUUUAACCCUCUCUCUCUUUGAUACUCUCCUUCGUGGUCCCUCUUAAAAACAAAGGUUAAAAUUAGUGUGAUUAAAAAAAAAACAAAAACAAAACCAUCAUCCCAUUGUUGAGAUGCACAUUUCACUCUACGUGAUGGGAAACAUGUAAAACAUCAGAUUUACUCACAGAUUUUUAAAAAAUAAAUAUGAAGCCCUACGGUUCCUUAUCGAUCAUCUAAAAUAUCAGCGUCUUCUCUUGAUUUUUAAAGCGUGACGACCCUAAGUGAUGGCGAAGGCGGUAGGCAGAGUGAAAUACAAUAACUUCAAAUAGACUUACAGGUCUAAGUCGAGUUAAACUUAACUUAACUGGAUCUUGUAAUAGCGAACGUGUUUUCUUUACAGCUGCAUCCUUACCGCUUAAAGAAAAAAAAGAAAAAAAGCUGUUAAAGUGACAGUCUAGCCUGAGUAGCAAAUCUGAAGACCACAGAAUUUGAACGGUCUGAUAGUGAAAGCACGAUUAAAACACACCAGCCACCGCCGUGGUUCACCGCUCCUACACAGGUUAAGAUUAACUAGUGCUGAGAGUGCAGUUAAAAUAAGCUUAACAGCAAAUUAAAAGAAAGCGCUUGAGGAGGUCCACCAAAGAUUUGAUUCUUGUACUUCAGGUCAACAUGUUUGGGCAGCGAGGAGAUUCUAGUUCUUUACAAACAGUAACAGAUAUCCUGAGCUACUGCGUGUGUCUGUACAACAGUUUAUUGCCACGGCAAGUCCUCCAGCGGAGUCAGUUCCUACGACUCCAGUCUAUUCCUCAAGGCUCACAUGUAAAGUAAGAGAAAGAGUUUAAAUCCAUUCAGUCACACAGGAUAGACUUUGUUCACACGGCGGCCAUUUUCCUCCAAUGUCACACUCAUGGUGUGAAACUUGAAUGCUGGGAUAAUGUACUGCUGCUGUACUGCUCUGUACACAGUAUGUGGGUGAUCUGGCAAACUGUUAUAAUUUCACUACUUCCUGAUUGAGUAACUACUGUGAAGACAAUGAAGAGUUUAAUCUGGAGGGACAUCAAACUUCAAGGCCACUCUCUGCAUGGUGUCUAUGGCUUCCUGCACCACCUCGUAGGUCUCCGUGUCCUUCUCCAUGUGGUUGGCUAUCUCCUCAGUAGGUGGUACUUGAGGAUCCUCUGCACUGGCUUGAGCAGGUAGGAGCCCAGGGGCAAGGAGUGUCUCAGAGAUUCCUGGCGCUCGCGGAAAAACUUGGCCAACGCCUUGUUCCUCAUGCACUC